rnacentral:rRNA from 1 species
AACUUUUCAUCAACGGAUCUCUUGGCUCUCGCAUCGAUGAAGAACGCAGCGAAAUGCGAUAAGUAGUGUGAAUUGCAGAACUUUGUGAACCAUCGUAUCUCUGAACGCAAAAUUGCGCCUUCUUUCGGGAGGCAUGUCUGUUUGAGGGCA